rnacentral:rRNA from 1 species
UGCCGGCGACCGGCGGACGGGUGCGUAAUGCGUAUGUAACCUACCUUUGACAGGGGGAUAACAUCGAGAAAUUGGUACUAAUACCCCAUAACAUCACCGGAGGCAUCUUCGGUGGUUGAAAACUCAGGUGGUCAGAGAUGGACAUGCGUUGUAUUAGCUAGUUGGUGAGGUAACGGCUCACCAAGGCGACGAUACAUAGGGGGACUGAGAGGUCAACCCCCCACAUUGGUACUGAGACACGGACCAAACUCCUACGGAAGGCAGCAG